rnacentral:rRNA from 1 species
UACGGUCUCAGUUCAGAUUGCAGGCUGCAACUCGCCUGCAUGAAGUUGGAAUUGCUAGUAAUCGCGAAUCAGAAUGUCGCGGUGAAUACGUUCCCGGGCCUUGUACACACCGCCCGUCACACCAUGAGAGUCGAUAACACCCGAAGCCUGUGAGCUAACCGUAAGGAGGCAGCAGUCGAAGGUGGGGUUGAUGAUUGGGGUGAAGUCGUAACAAGGUAAC